rnacentral:rRNA from 1 species
UACGGAAGGUCCGGGCGUUAUCCGGAUUUAUUGGGUUUAAAGGGAGCGUAGGCCGGCUUUUAAGUCAGCUGUGAAAGUCCGCGGCUCAACUGCGGGACUGCUUUUGAAACUGCCAAGCUAGAGUGUCGGAGAGGUAAGUGGAAUUCCUAGUGUAGCGGUGAAAUGCGUAGAUAUUAGGAGGAACACCAGUGGCGAAGGCGGCUUACUGGACGAUGACUGACGCUGAGGCUCGAAAGCGUGGGGAGCAAACAGG